UCUCCGUUGGUGAACCAGCGGAGGGAUCAUUACAGAGUUGAAAAACUCCAACCCCUGUGAACCUACCUUUACUGUUGCUUCGGCGGAAGAUGGCCCCCCCGGGCCGGGCGCCGCCGGAGGUCACAAACCCUGAAUUUUUAGUGUAUCUCUGAGUACAAAACUAAAUAAUUAAAACUUUCAACAACGGAUCUCUUGGUUCUGGCAUCGAUGAAGAACGCAGCGAAAUGCGAUAAGUAAUGUGAAUUGCAGAAUUCAGUGAAUCAUCGAAUCUUUGAACGCACAUUGCGCCCGCCGGUAUUCCGGCGGGCAUGCCUGUCCGAGCGUCAUUUCACCACUCAAGCCCAGCUUGGUGUUGGGGCACCCGGCCGCCUGGCGGUCGGGGCCCCCAAGAACAUCGGCGGUCUCGCUAGGACCCUGAACGCAGUAACUCGCGGUAAAACGCGCUUCGUUCGGAGGCUUCCCGGCGGGCUCCAGCCGCUAAACCCCUUAAACUUCUUAGGUUGACCUCGGAUCAGGUAGGAAUACCCGCUGAACUUAA
rnacentral:rRNA from 1 species